AGCAACAUGGCGCAGUGGUAGCGCGCGGGGCUCAUACCGUGAGAGAGUUACGUAACCACACGUGACGUGGAACCCCGAGGUCACUCGAUCGAGACGAGUUGUUGCUA